UACGUAGGUGACCAGCGUUGUCCGGAUUUAUUGGGCGUAAAGAGCGUGUAGGCGGCUUGGUAGGUCUGCCGUGAAAACCUGGGGCUCAACCCCGGGCGUGCGGUGGAUACUGCCGGGCUAGAGGGUGGUAGAGGCGAGUGGAAUUCCCGGUGUAGCGGUGAAAUGCGCAGAUAUCGGGAGGAACACCUAUGGCGAAGGCAGCUCGCUGGGACGUUACUGACGCUGAGACGCGAAAGCGUGGGGAGCAAACAGG
rnacentral:rRNA from 1 species